ensembl:lncRNA
GCUUUCAGAUAAGUUAUCCAUUACUGGACCCAGUGUCUGCCUUUGGGGACUAACCACAUGUUUUUAGCAAGGUAAGAUUCCCACCAGGUUGCCCCACUCUUCUUUUGUACUCCCUACCUGCCCUUCUCUCAAUUCUUGGUGACUCACUUCAGCCUACUAUUCUGUAAAUGACCACUCCAAAAAAAUAAUAAUUCCACAGUCCAAAAAUUUUACAAUCCAGAAAAACAACUGGUGAUGUAAGAGGAAGAAGAUAGGGUGUCCAAAGAGGAGGAAGAGAGACCCUAAUCAACCCCUCCUUUGAUAACAAAGUGACCUUAUACCAAAUAAAUGCCUGCUCUCCUGUUGAAGUGGUUGUUUUAUCUCUGGGCAUCUGAUUUCACCCACUUCUUGGACCAGCAGAUGCAUUUCCUGUUGCAGUGAGUUAGCAGCUCCUCAUAAGUACCACCAUCUUCCUACCCAUGGAUUUUUGAACAACUCACUAGUGGGGAUAGAUACUGGAACUGUGAUUUCUUAGGUAUAGGAAACCCUCAGGUGAGGAAACUCUAGGAACACUGGCCAUUCAUCACCUAGUCUUAAGAGUUACCUAGUGCACCAAGAUUUGCAACUACUUUACCUAGUGCACCAAGAUUUGCCACUACCUUACCUAGUGUACCAAGAUUUGCCACUACCAGCCAGUAGGUGUUAAAUAGCAAAACUUAGAACCAAGUCCUUCAGGGCUGGAAGCCAGCUCUCUCUCCAUUAGGCCUGGAGGUUCUCCAUAUGCUAAGCCACACUGGCUCUCAGUACUCUUUCCUACUUACUAAGAAAACUUGUACUAUCUAACCCCAGACAAUCAUUGUGAGAAAACUGCUUGUUAUCCCUUAAAGCCAGAGUGCAGAAACACCAACUAUAAUCAUUAUUCUAGGCUGUGUAGAUUUGGGGGAGGGGUGGAGGUUUAUGGGAAAGUCCUGUUCCCACCUUUUCACUUUAAACUUGAACCAUCUAAUCCUUUUCUUCAGACCUGGAGGAGGUCGGGGUGGAGAAGUGGAGAAGAGAAGGUGAGGAGGAGGAAGAGGAGGACUAGGAGGAAACAUCAGAAAAAUGAACUGUUGUGGAAACUACGCUUUGAGAGAUUAAAGGAAUUGCCUAUGGCACCCCGAGCUGGUGCUGGAGCUGAGAUUCCUGGGAUUCAUGAAGGUGGUUUGCUGAAUGAAGUCCAAGGGAGAGGCCAACAGUCUGGAUUUGGAGAAAGUAGGAACACAUUCAAAUUUGUACCAAAACCUGACUUCAUAUGCCCUGGUCAGCAGCUACUAGUGGAGUUAAUGUAGUAGACAAAGCCUACAAACUUUCCUUUUUAGCUUUUAAAUCUAGAUUUCUAUUCACUCCAGCUCAACUCCCUUUUGACUACACUGACCUGACUCCCAGAAGAAAGCAGAUAAGGGCAAAGUACAAGUACAGGGUAUCUGGAACCAUAUCCUUCAGGGCACAAGAUACCAAGGUCUGAAUUCUAAUUCUAUUCCUGAAUCCAAGAUUAAUGAAGAAACAGGUCACCCUCAUUUCUCUGCCUUUAUUUCUUUUUGUAAAAAUGCAAAUAAAAUAUUUAUUUGAUAACA